UGGACUGAACUGAACUGAACUGAACUGAACUGAACUGAACUGAACUGAACUGAACUGAACUGAACUGAACUGAACUGAACUGGACUGGACUGAACUGAACUGAACUGAACUGAACUGAACUGGACUGGACUGGUGCUAAUGUGUCACAGUAAAAAAGCUGUUCACAUACUGGGCUAAUCAUGGCUAACUGUGUGCUAAUCUGGACUGUUCCUGCAACAACCUGCAACUGUUCUAGACAUGACCAGAGGUUAGCCUGGAGCUAGCUGGGGUUAGCCAGGUGUUACUGGAGGUUAGCCUGGAGCUAGCUGGGGUUAGCCAGGUGUUAUUGGAGGUUAGCCUGGAGCUAGCUGGGGUUAGCCAGGUGUUACUGGAGGUUAGCCUGGAGCUAGCUGGAGGUUAGCCAGGUGUUACUGGAGGUUAGCCUGGAGCUAGCUGGGGUUAGCCAGGUGUUACUGGAGGUUAGCCUGGAGCUAGCUGGAGGUUAGCCAGGUGUUACUGGAGGUUAGCCUGGAGCUAGCUGGGGUUAUCCAGGUGAUACUGCAGUCCCAGUGGGUGUGGCCUCUUCCUGUAUCUGACCUCAGAACUGUACAUAAUAUUCACAGCAAUAUUUCAAUAAACAUCACUGAUCACCUGUUA